rnacentral:rRNA from 1 species
CACGUAGGGGGGCAAGCGUUGUCCGGAUUUAUUGGGCGUAAAGAGCUCGUAGGUGGCUCGGUAAGUCGGGUGUGAAAUUUCGAGGCUCAACCUCGAAACGCCACCUGAUACUGCUGUGGCUUGAGUCCGGUAGGGGAGCGUGGAAUUCCUGGUGUAGCGGUGAAAUGCGCAGAUAUCAGGAGGAACACCAGCGGCGAAGGCGGCGCUCUGGGCCGGUACUGACACUGAGGAGCGAAAGCGUGGGGAUCAAACAGG